ensembl:snoRNA
AAAUUAUCUUUUAGUUUGUGGGGCUAUGAAAGCAAGAGCUCUUAAUGCUGUGUCCAGAGACUGAAGAUCUCUAUAGGACACCAUACACAAUAGUGCUAUGUUUUCCCGAGAUGAUCCAACA